UACGUAGGGUGCAAGCGUUGUCCGGAAUUAUUGGGCGUAAAGAGCUCGUAGGCGGUUUGUCGCGUCUGCUGUGAAAACCUGAGGCUCAACCUCGGGCUUGCAGUGGGUACGGGCAGACUAGAGUGUGGUAGGGGAGACUGGAAUUCCUGGUGUAGCGGUGAAAUGCGCAGAUAUCAGGAGGAACACCGAUGGCGAAGGCAGGUCUCUGGGCCACUACUGACGCUGAGAAGCGAAAGCAUGGGGAGCGAACAGG
rnacentral:rRNA from 1 species